AACUCCGUGCCAGCAGCCGCGGUAAUACGGGGGAUGCAAGCGUUAUCCGAAAUCAUUGGGCGUAAAGCGCCUGUAGGUUGUUUAAUAAGUCCGUUGUUAAAGACUAGGGCUUAACCCUAGAAAAGCGAUGGAAACUACUAGACUUGAGUAUGGCAGGGGUAGAGGGAAUUUCUAGUGUAGCGGUGAAAUGCGUAGAUAUUAGAAAGAACACCGGUGGCGAAAGCGCUCUACUGGACCAUUACUGACACUCAGAGGCGAAAGCUAGGGUAGCAAAAGGGAUUAGAUACCCCUGUAGUCCUAGCCGUAAACGAUGGAUACUAGAUGUUGUAUAUAUU
rnacentral:rRNA from 1 species